CAGAACUAAAGGGCACUGCCUCAAAAUUGAGGGACGAUCUUUUCAAACAGAGAUGGAAGCCCGAAGGUCAAAUGGAAGUUGGAAGUCCAAAGUCAAGGUCCAUGGAGUUGACUGUUCACAGCCGACCAGGAAGAAGGUUGACAGCUGGC